UCCGUGGUUCGAUAUUCGGUCGAGCUUUCUUUUCGUCAACCUCAUCGUGACGAUCGUGGUGCUCGGUGGACUGUUGGCAACGAUCGAAAAGCAUCUGCCCACUGCCAUCCGGCAGACGUUUGCUGCCCUCUGGUCGGUGGCCGGAUUUGCCGUCAUGAUGUAGCCAGCGCGGGACUACGUAAUCGCCUUCCUCGAUACGUUGGCAACCAACAAGCGUAUGGUGCGCACCACGCCUACCGAGACGAUGGCAUGACGGCAUGCCAUGACGCUGAUCACGCUGCAGUGUUUGCGCCGGUUCCACAAGACCUGGUUCGUGCAGGUGUUCUCGAGCAAGCUGAAAAUCACCCACCAGUUGUACGUGGAACACUUUCACAACUAUCCGAAGCAAGCUCGUCAGGAAAACACUCGUCCCGUUCGUUCUGUGAGAUCGACGGUGAGGGUGCGGAUAAUAUCGUUCCGGUUGUUGGGCUUUUUUUAGGAUCGAAAAAAUGGUAUGGUUGGUGUCCGGCUUUUUUUAGGUUGCUGGUUCCCGGCUGAUGGGAUUCAGCUGGUUUUCCUGGAUCUUCUGUGAAUGCCUUGUUCCACGGACCGGUCGUCGAUGCACUCGAGGUGCACCGCAUUGACGAGCGGCAGUAGCAGGAUGCAAUCGGCGCGGCCGAGCUGGCAGCGAAGCCGGUUCUCGGUGAGCCAUUCACGCCGAAUGAGGGCGGUCAAGAGCCGGCUGCAUACGUUCGAUAUAUUCGCUACGCGCACGAUCAAACUGUGUAACGAUGCCGAGUGUGUCCGGCCAUCGCGACUAGGAAGUUAAGUUGCGUCGUCUAUUGUGACACCUUUUCAUCAACAACUGGCAUGACUAUCGGCGCACGGUCGGUGGCUCUAGCGAAGGGGAGGGUGCGUUCCAAUCGGCUGGCAGGACACAGAUCGGAUCGGUUAGGACAACGAUCGGCAUAGUACGGCUCGCGACCCGCAUGUGGCUAUUUGUUGACUAGUUGCCUCUUCAAGUGCAAAUCUACGAACAUGUUUAGAAGAUUUGGCUCUUUCGGUCGCAACGUUUGCGGAGUCGCUGGGGAUAUUGGAUUGUAAGGAAUGAAUAUACUGUCCGCAGGAACCAGAUGAUGACAUCACCAAGGAGCUAAUGCGCUAAAGCUUAUCAGGAGGAGGCGAGAAUGGUUUGAUGUUUUUGGCACAGCUCCCACGUAUCAUCCAUACCACACCAAAUCAUUAUGGCGCAGCCGUGAAUAUGUACAACGUCAUCCUGCUCGGGUAGGAUGGUGACGGUCUCCCGCUCGGUAUAUCUUGACGGCAGUAUAACGCAA